GACGAACGCUGGCGGCGUGCUUAACACAUGCAAGUCGAACGAAGUGGCGAACGGGUGAGUAACGCGUAAUCAACCUGCCCUUCAGAGGGGGACAACAGUUGGAAACGACUGCUAAUACCGCAUACUGAAGGAGGGGAUUGCGUCUGAUUCGCUAGUUGGAGGGGUAACGGCCCACCAAGGCGAUAGUCAGUAGCCGGUCUGGUAGGAUGAACGGCCACAUUGGGAAUGAGACACGGCCCAGACUCCUACGGGAGGCAGGAGUGGGGAAACUUCCGCAAUGGACGGAAGUCUGACGGAGCAACGCCGGGGUAGUGAUGACGGCCUUCGGGUUGUAAAGGUAUGUUAAUCGGGACGCGGUACCGGAAGAGAAAGCCACGGCUAACUCCGUGCCAGCAGCCGCGGUAAUAC
rnacentral:rRNA from 1 species